GAUAAGAUUUUGGUUGCACUAACUGACUAUACGAGGUUAUGCAAUAGUGGUUAAGUUACAUGCUAUGCAAGAUGCAGUUUGAUCAGUGGAAAUAAUAGAUUUUGAGUUACACGCUAGGCAAACAAGUGAGAGUUAAUUUUUAUUUUAAUGGUCCCGCUCCCUACCGAGGUAUGGAGCCCUGUUUUGGCUAGGUAGUAGGCCCAAGGUUAAUACAGGGUGGGGGCCCGUGAGUAUGACAACUGUGGUGCAGGAUAGUUUUAGAACAGAGGAUCCUUGAGGAUCAGAUAACUAGAUCGGGUAACUUGGUAUGGUGUCUCAAGAUUUUGAGUGAGGCAGCUCCGCCAAC